CCCGCGGGAGUUUGCAGCCUCGCGAUUGAUAGCGCACUGAUAUUGAUAGAGCCCUUUCAACAACCCGGCUUCGGCGUUGGCGUGGGCGCGCAGAUAUGACGUAAGAGGAGCCAUUUUGGAUGUUUUUUCUUGGUGCGUUGAGGCAGUUACUUGCGUCUUCACUUUGAUUCGUUCGGGAGCAAGAGCUGUAGCAAGAGCUGCUGAGGUUUUAACACUGCGGCUCAGAAGAAACAAGAGAAAAUGCCGCCUCUUGAAACGGAUAUAACGGUGGAAACAGAAGAGAGAGUAAGAAUCGAGUAUCAUGCAGUACGGGAGCUUAAAGAUCUCUGCGUAAUGAUAAAGCGGUUAAUGUCAGAGCGCUUGAAAAAUGUUGAAUUAAGGGCGAUAGCAGAAAUGUGCAAGCCUGAUGGUGCGGAAGAUAGGGUUGCUGGCGAACCUGAAGGUGCAGAAGAUGGGAUUGCUGAAGUAAAGGAAAACCAAGAAAAAAUCUCACCGCAUGAAGAGAAAGGGGAAAAUAAUUAAAGAAAACGAGAGCCCUAUUGCGCAGAUCCAGAAGAUAGGAUCUGCACGUACGAUGAAUACCUGAAACAGGGAAAAAUCAAAGCUGAAACAGUAAGAACUAAUUGAAGGAAAUUUUCCAGAACGAAGAACAACUGGAUCUGCAAGUAGAAGAAGCUCAAGGGGUACCGUUAAAAUUUAACAAAAAGUAGGCAAAGCAAAACUUAAAGAUGCUGUGGUAAAGAUAUAUCUAGUUGACACCUGUUCAGAUUUGAAUGAUAAAAAUUUCUACAAAUACUCAUACAGAAAGGAGAUUGGUUACCUAUAAAAGGUCAAAAGUAAUCUAACCUUAGAUUUUUCUCUUGUAAAUGUGUAACAAUAUAAACAGUAUCUACAAAGAUUUCAAAAUAAUUUUGAGCCAAGAAUCUCAUACUUUGCUAAUUUUUUGCUGUGUGAAGGCAACUGGAAAACAGACAGGCAGAGAUUUCAAAAGUUUAUCACCCAGGUACCAUCCUUGGAAAAUUUGCUGAAUGAUUGACUUUAGCCAACACUUAAAAAUAGGGAAACGAUUGUAUGAAAAAUUAGUAAUAUGCUUUAAAACGGUAUCCCGAAAGAGCAUUAAGAAUGUUAGAAUCUAUAGAAUUGUAAGAAGAGUUGUAAAAUGUAAGAUUUAAAAGUUGGACCAGUUUAUGUCAUUUCAAACUGAAAAAGCAUGCUAAAUGUUUGAUGUAUAGAAAAUAAAUGGUUUUUUUUCCCUGA